GACUGUCCUAUGGAUUGUAAACUUCUUUUGUGGCAGAAUAAACUACCGUACUUGUACGGUAUUGCAUGUAUGCCAUGAAUAAGCAUCGGCUAACUCCGGGCCAGCAACCCGCGGCAAUACGGGAGGAUGCAGGCGUUAUCCGGAUUUAUUAGGUUUAAAGGUGUUUCAGGCUGCCUGGUAAGUCAGGGGUGAAAGUCGGUUGCUCAACGAUCGAAUUGCCUUUGAAACUGUCAGGCUCGAGUAUGGAUGCGGUAGGCGGAAUGUGUAGUGUAGCGGUGAAAUGCAUUGAUAUUACACAGAACACCGAUUGCGAAGGCAGCUUACCAAACCAGCACUGACGCUGAAGCACGAAAGCGUGGGGAGCGAACAGGAUUAGAUACCCUGGUAGUCCACGCCGUAAACUUUGCCCACUCGCUGUUGGCGAUAGACAGUCAGCGGCCAAGGGAAACCGAUAAGUGAGCCACCUGGGGAGUACGGCCGCAAGGUUGAAACUCAGAGGAAUUGACGGGGGCCCGCACAAGCGGUGGAACAUGUGGUUUAAUUCGAUGAUACGCGAGGAACCUUACCUGGGCUUAAAUGUGAAGUGCAUUGAUUGGAAACAAUCAUUUCCUUCGGGACCCUUUACAAGGUGCUGCAUGGUUGUCGUCAGCUCGUGCCGUGAGGUGUCGGGUUAAGUCCCAUAACGAGCGCAACCCCUAUUGUUAGUUACCAGCGCGUAAUGGCGGGGACUCUAGCGAAACUGCCGGUGUAAACCGCGAGGAAGGUGGGGAUGACGUCAAAUCAGCACGGCCCUUAUGUCCAGGGCUACACACGUGUUACAAUGGCCGGUACAGCGGGCAGCUAGGCAGCGAUGUCAUGCUAAUCCCGAAAGCCGGUCCCAGUUCGGAUUGGAGUCUGCAACCCGACUCCAUGAAGGUGGAAUCGCUAGUAAUCGCGCAUCAGCCAUGGCGCGGUGAAUACGUUCCCGGGCAUUGUACACACCGCCCGUCAAGCCAUGGAAGUCUGGGGUG
rnacentral:rRNA from 1 species